rnacentral:ncRNA from 1 species
GAUCAAGUGCCUUAAGGGCAUCUGGUGGAUGCCUUGGCGCUGAGAGGCGAUGAAGGACGUGGCACGCUGCGAAAAGUCAUGGGGAGCUGCGAGCAAGCUUUGAUCCGUGAAUAUCCGAAUGGGGAAACCCACCUAGCAAUAGGUAUCCCAAACUGAAUACAUAGGUUUGGGAAGCGAACCCGGGGAACUGAAACAUCUAAGUACCCGGAGGAAAGGACAUCAACCGAGACUCCGCUAGUAGUGGCGAGCGAACGCGGACCAGGCCAGUGGUCAAUUCUACAUAACUGGAACCGUCUGGAAAGUCGGGCCAAAGCGGGUGAUAGCCCCGUACAGGUAAAUCGGAAUUGAUCCUCGAGUAGGGCGGGACACGUGAAAUCCUGUCUGAACAUGGGGGGACCACCCUCCAAGCCUAAGUACUCCUCAGUGACCGAUAGUGAACCAGUACCGUGAGGGAAAGGUGAAAAGCACCCCGACGAGGGGAGUGAAACAGCACCUGAAACCGGAUGCCUACAAACAGUCGGAGCCUCCUUGCGGGGUGACGGCGUACCUUUUGUAUAAUGGGUCAGCGACUUAGAGUACGAGCAAGCUUAAGCCGAUAGGCGAAGGCGCAGCGAAAGCGAGUCUGAACAGGGCGUUCAGUUCGUGGCUCUAGACCCGAAACCAGGUGAUCUAGCCAUGCGCAGGAUGAAGGUGCGGUAACACGCACUGGAGGUCCGAACCAGUGCCCGUUGAAAAGGUCUUGGAUGACGUGUGGUUAGGGGUGAAAGGCCAAUCAAACCUGGACAUAGCUGGUUCUCCGCGAAAGCUAUUUAGGUAGCGCCUCGAGCGAAUGCCGUGCGGGGUAGAGCACUGGAUGGGCUAGGGCCGCCCACAGCGGUACCGCACUCAACCAAACUCCGAAUACGCACGAGCACUACUCGGGAGACACACGGCGGGUGCUAACGUCCGUCGUGAAGAGGGCAACAACCCUGACCGACAGCUAAGGCCCCCAAUUCGUGGCUAAGUGGGAAAGGAUGUGGGACUCCCAAAACAACCAGGAGGUUGGCUUAGAAGCAGCCAUCCUUUAAAGAAAGCGUAACAGCUCACUGGUCUAGCCAAGGGGUCCUGCGCCGAAAAUGUAACGGGGCUCAAGCCACGAGCCGAAGCUUCGGGUGUGACGCAAGAUGAGCGGUAGCGGAGCGUUCCCUAGGCUGAUGAAGGGAGACCCGUGAGGGCUCCUGGAGGUAUGGGAAGUGCGAAUGCUGACAUGAGUAACGACAAAGAGUGUGAAAGACACUCUCGCCGAAAGUCCAAGGGUUCCUGCGUAAAGUUAAUCUGCGCAGGGUCAGCCGGCCCCUCACGGCGAGGCCGAAAGGCGUAGUCGAUGGGAAUGGGGCGAAU